rnacentral:snRNA from 1 species
GUGCUCAAUUCGGCAGCACAUAUACUAAAAUUGGAACGAUACAGAGAAGAUUAGCAUGGCCCCUGCACAAGGAUGACACACAAAUUCGUGAAGUGUUCAUUAUUUUU